GAUCACCGAAGUUAAGCAUCAUUGGGCGCGGUCAGUACUUGGGUGGGUGACCACCUGGGAACACUGCGUGCCGUU
rnacentral:rRNA from 1 species